CAAUUGGAGAAACUGGUUAUUUUGCCAAGGCUUUGAUGGGAAUGGCGUGGUUCCCUUUAAGGAAGCAAAUUUGACUUAUAGAGCCAAUAAAAGCCCCUUGGGAAAACUGGCCUCAUACCUUGUCUACACAGUACUUGUACAGGGCUCCUGACCUAUGAUGGACCCUUGAAGGAAGAAAACAUCGAAGGAGGAAAGAGAAGGCUUUGACAUAAAUUGAGAGGAACAAGGAGAAAGAGAAUCCGCUUUAUUACCCAGAGGAUACAGUGAAGGAAGCUUGGGGUCAUCCUAAAUUCCUGAAUUUUCUCUAUUUUGCAAGAUCCAGCAAAUAAUCAAGUCUAGUCACUUUUUCCUCCUCGUAAGUAUCUUCUGUACCUUCAAUUCCCACUGCCUCAUCGUUUUUUGUUCUGGGUAUUUGA